UUGCCAGCCCGCUCAGAAACUUAAGGAAUUGACGGGGGCCCGCACAAGCGGUGGAGCAUGUGGUUUAAUUCGAUGAUACGCGAGGAACCUUACCUGGGCUCAAAUGUAUGUUGACGUAUUCUGAAAGGGAUACUUCUUCGGACAAUAUACAAGGUGCUGCAUGGUUGUCGUCAGCUCGUGCCGUGAGGUGUCGGGUUAAGUCCCAUAACGAGCGCAACCCUCAUCAUUAGUUACCAUCAGGUAAGGCUGGGGACUCUAAUGAGACUGCCAUCGUAAGAUGUGAGGAAGGUGGGGAUGACGUCAAAUCAGCACGGCCCUUACGUCCGGGGCGACACACGUGUUACAAUGGGUGGUACAAAGGGCAGCUACCUGGCGACAGGAUGCUAAUCUCCAAAACCACUCUCAGUUCGGAUCGGAGUCUGCAACUCGACUCCGUGAAGCUGGAUUCGCUAGUAAUCGCGCAUCAGCCACGGCGCGGUGAAUACGUUCCCGGGCCUU
rnacentral:rRNA from 1 species